UACAAACCAUGUAAAAGGAUAAUCUUAAGUUGGACCAUACAGUGGAUAAUUCAGACCACACUCCACUCUGUAGGGAAUAGGGACGGCAAAUCAUGACGCCACGACAAGCUAUUAACGACCUAAGAAAGGUCCAGGCCAGUGUGUACAUGUAAUCAUUCAGAGUUUUCUUUGCUACAUUAUUGGUCUCUAUGUUCAUCCCGAUAUUGGCUAAUAUGUACCACUUGGGGUCAAAUUAAGGGUUCAGAUUAUCCAUUGUUGGUGUAUAAAUUGUGGCUAUUUAUAAGUGGGAAGAAAUCUUUUGCUACCCCUCCAUGUGGAUUGGAAGCAACAACUUUAUGCUGAAGGGGAAGUUUCAACUGAUUCUCCCAUUGGUUCAUAUGCCAAGGCUAAGUCAUCUAUGGACUUUUAUAUUUCUGUGCUGCACCAAGGGGAUAGAGUACCAUAUUUUGAAGUGUUUAUUUUAAGCUUGAAUCAAAGACAUUCAACUUCAAUUGCUGUUUUAAUAAUUUUUUGCACUGCCGAAG
rnacentral:sRNA from 1 species